GUAUUAGGCCAUGCCACCUUAAACAAGCCCGAUCCAUCUGAUCUCAGAAGCUAAGCAGGGUUGAGCCUGAUUAGUACUUGGAUGGGAGACCACCUAGGAAUAGCAGGUGCUGUAGGUG
rnacentral:rRNA from 1 species